CGAGCGUUAAUCGGAAUUACUGGGCGUAAAGCGUGCGCAGGCGGUUUGGUAAGUCAGAUGUGAAAUCCCCGGGCUCAACCUGGGAACUGCAUUUGAGACUGCCAAGCUGGAGUUUGGCAGAGGGGGUGGAAUUCCACGUGUAGCAGUGAAAUGCGUAGAGAUGUGGAGGAACACCGAUGGCGAAGGCAGCCCCCUGGGCCAAUACUGACGCUCAUGCACGAAAGCGUGGGGAGCAAACAGGAUUAGAUACCCUGGUAGUCCACGCCCUAAACGAUGUCAACUAGGUGUUGGGAGGGGUUAAACCUUUUAGUGCCGUAGCUAACGCGUGAAGUUGACCGCCUGGGGAGUACGGCCGCAAGGCUAAAACUCAAAGGAAUUGACGGGGACCCGCACAAGCGGUGGAUGAUGUGGAUUAAUUCGAUGCAACGCGAAAAACCUUACCUACCCUUGACAUGUCAGGAAUCCUGGAGAGAUCUGGGGAGUGCUCGCAAGAGAACCUGAACACAGGUGCUGCAUGGCUG
rnacentral:rRNA from 1 species